AGUUAUAUAGUCUAUAGGAUAUUAAAUUGCAAAUUUAAAGGAGUAUAAAAUUAUACUAUGGCUU
rnacentral:tRNA from 1 species